CCCUACUGUACGCAUUUUUUGUGUUUACUGACAAACCUGCCUGUGUGAGAAUUCUACUGUGAGCUAAUAACUGUUUUAAUGCAUGAUUGGGUCUUUGAAUUGCAGAGGAGUUUUGGGGUGCAGUCUGAAAAAUUCCUGUAAAUUAAAAUGUGACAAAGCGUCAGCUGCAUUAUUGAAAAUGCCUGGAACAUGAAUACAACAAAUGUAAAACUGCAAAUUUGCU